rnacentral:rRNA from 1 species
AUGGAGUCGCUCGGGUGGCUGACGGAGUCCACGGUGAUGCCGAAGAAGCACAAGGCCAUCGAGGGUGUCGGCGCGGCAUCCAUACUCGACCUCAAGGCCCAGCUCUACCGCACUCAGGAGGAAGCCCGCAAUUCCACUGCCGCUGACGCUGCCUCCAGCGAGUUCCGCCGCGCCAAGAAACGCUCCGGCCCCGCCGAUCCCCUCGGCGCCAAGAACUCAGGCGUAGACGCACGUGCCCACAAAGAUAAGCUGGAGCUGAAAGCUGUGAAAGAUGGUACUGCAUGUUAUUCUGCCCUAGAAAAGAAGGCUGAGCUGUAUGAGAAAUUAUCCAGGGGUGAGCUACCUGAUGAAGAAGACCAGGAGAAAUAUUGCGUUGAUUUCUUCCAGAAAAGUUUUCAUCAAGUCAGCGAGCGCCGGCAGCCAGAGACUGCUACUGCGUCUGAGCAUGUAGAACAAGAAAAUGAGAGUGUCGAUUCUAUGCCAAAUCCCAAGCCAAUGGGCCUUGGACGAACUGGUACAACAGUUGACCAAGAUGAGCACAAACGCUUUGUCAGGGAGGUUCACGACGAAGUAAGUCAAGCAAGGCAGAAGGCUUCAACGAUGAAACACCGGCGACAAGAGCAGGAGUCGGCUCGUAGAGAGAAACUCAGGCAAGCUUUCCUCAAGAAGCGCCUUGAUAAGUUGAUGGCUGAAAAGCAGGCAUCUUCGGCCAGUGAUGACCAACCAGUUAGCUAG